rnacentral:rRNA from 1 species
UACGUAGGCAGCAAGCGUUGUUCGGAAUUACUGGGCGUAAAGAGUGUGUAGGCGGUGUUCUAAGUUUGUCGUGAAAUCUCCCGGCUUAACUGGGAGGGUGCGGCGAAAACUGGAAUGCUAGAGGAUGGAAGAGGUAAGCGGAAUUCCUGGUGUAGCGGUGAAAUGCGUAGAUAUCAGGAGGAACACCUGUGGUGUAGACAGCUUACUGGACCAUUUCUGACGCUGAGACACGAAAGCGUGGGUAGCAAACAGG